CCCGGUCCAAGUUAUUUGAUCAGAAAGAAGGCCUUCUCCAGUUUAAUGGGGAGUUUCAUAGUAAUAACCCUCUCUAAGAGGACAAACAGCACAACAUAAUAUGUUUUCCUCAAAAUUCAACUGGAAUGGUUUUACAUGAUGAAUUGAGCCAUCUAUCGUGAAGGAAUGUAGUGAAAAACACAGGUGUGAACUACAAAUGUUAAAUGGACAGCGGACAAGCAGGAAGUGUGCCCCAGAAGGAAUUCAAUGAACACAUUGAUUGAGUGCUGUAUCAUGCACCUACUCUGAGACCGGGAAUUACUUCAAAAGUAAGCUCUUCUUAGGUUUCUCCUUCCUAGUAGGAAGUAGAGUGACCUGAACAGGCACUUAAAUUGCAAUAAAAUGUUCAGAGGUGAAUUCAUAGCUCUGCUUUACAUCGUUGGUGUUUUAAGAGUACAGCUAGAGUUUCUUUUUACUUAAAUGGCAUUUAUUUGCAAAUAAUUUAAAUAUUCAUAUGUAUCACCUUUGUAGCAUGUCAGAGCUAGGGAGACUAAAAUCUUCUGUUACCUCUUAAAUCUGUUUUAAAUUUAAUAUUAUUGCUCAGUGAACUGAGAAAAUGCUUUCACAGUGCAAGUGUCUACCUUCGCUCUUCUUCUGGUUUUGUCUCUGAUAUUCACUCACAAGUAACAGCAGUUGUCAUUUAUUCGGCCCCUCCUACGUGCUGGGUGCUUUACUCACUUGUAUUUAAUUUUUUAUAACCUCACAAGUUAAAGAUUAUAAUCUCUGUUUUUCAGAUUCAGAUGAUAAUUAAUUUACGUAAUCUUCAUAACCUUGCAAGGUAUAUUAGUCAGGGUUCUCCAGUGAAGCAGAACUAACAUCUAUCUAUCUGUCUAUCUAUCGAGAGAGACACUCACGCGCUUGUGGAGGCUGGCAAGUCCAAAAUCUGAAGGGUGGGCCUGCAAGGUGGAGACCCAGGGAAGAGCUGCAGUUCAAGUGCAAAGGCAGUCUGCUGGCAGAAUUGAUUGGAUGAGGCCCGUCCCCAUUACGGAGGGCCACCUGCUUCACUCAAAGUCUGCUGAUUUAAGUGUUAGUCUCAUCUGAAAAAAAUAUCUUCAGAGAAACAUCUAGAACAUGUUUGACCGAAUACCUGAGUACUGUGGCCUGGCCAAACUGAUACACAAAAUUAACCAUCCCACAGUAGAUGAGCACAGUAAAGCUCAGAGAUAUUAAGUAACUUGCACAAUUUCAGAGUUUGUUAUGGAGAUUCUGGACUUUAUAAAAGAGAUUUUUGUUUUCCAAAGCCCACGUGUCUUUCACUAUAUACUUGUUGUUCGUGUCGUUGAGUCCAUUCAGACUCCUAGCAACCCUGUGUA